GGAUCGAUGAUGACUGCCCCUCAAAAAAACAUUCCUUGGAAAAGCUGAACAAAAUGAGUGAAAACUCAUACUGUCACUGUCAUCGGAACUGAGGUCC
ensembl:snoRNA SNORD116 Small nucleolar RNA SNORD116